ACGGGUGAGUAACGCGUAAAGAACUUGCCUCACAGCUAGGGACAACAUUUAGAAAUGAAUGCUAAUACCUAAUAUUAUGAUAAUAGGGCAUCCUAUAAUUAUGAAAGCUAUAUGCGCUGUGAGAGAGCUUUGCGUCCCAUUAGCUAGUUGGAGAGGUAACGGCUCACCAAGGCGAUGAUGGGUAGCCGGCCUGAGAGGGUGAUCGGCCACAAGGGGACUGAGACACGGCCCUUACUCCUACGGGAGGCAGCAGUGGGGAAUAUUGGACAAUGGACCGAGAGUCUGAUCCAGCAAUUCUGUGUGCACGAUGAAGUUUUUCGGAAUGUAAAGUGCUUUCAGUUGGGAAGAAAGAAAUGACGGUACCAACAGAAGAAGUGACGGCUAAAUACGUGCCAGCAGCCGCGGUAAUACGUAUGUCACGAGCGUUAUCCGGAUUUAUUGGGCGUAAAGCGCGUCUAGGUGGUUAUAUAAGUCUGAUGUGAAAAUGCAGGGCUCAACUCUGUAUUGCGUUGGAAACUGUAUAACUAGAGUACUGGAGAGGUAAGCGGAACUACAAGUGUAGAGGUGAAAUUCGUAGAUAUUUGUAGGAAUGCCGAUGGGGAAGCCAGCUUACUGGACAGAUACUGACGCUG
rnacentral:rRNA from 1 species